AGUGGAAGAACACUUUCAUUUUUACAUCUUCAUGGCGAAAGAUAAAUGUCAGCUGAAAUCACCUUGAUCUGUCCCAGUCCAGGGUAUAGCUGGGAACUCGGUUUGACACAGUCCAAGGUACGGUACAGCGCUCUUCAGAAAGUGCAGUACGACUUAUCAAGUAAGGAUGUUGACUGUCAUAUUACCCCAGCAGGGGAAGUUUUGCUCCCGGUCCU